rnacentral:rRNA from 1 species
GACGAACCGUGCGAACGUUGUUCGGAAUCACUGGGCUUAAAGGGCGCGUAGGCGGGCUGCCAAGUCAGGGGUGAAAGCCCACGGCUCAACCGUGGAAGUGCCUUUGAUACUGGCGGUCUCGAGGGAAGUAGGGGCGUGCGGAACUUCCGGUGGAGCGGUGAAAUGCGUAGAUAUCGGAAGGAACACCGGUGGCGAAAGCGGCGCGCUGGACUCUACUGACGCUGAGGCG